CUCUCCCGGCCUUUCCUUCCUGGCAAUUACGACAGGCCAUUAGAGGUACGACACCGAGGUUGUGCCGGAAGGGGCUGAGAGCAGUCCUGGCGUGUGCCGUCCGGGAGGGUGGAGCGGAGUCGAGCGGUGGAUCGAUAGCGUUAUCUUCUCGUAAGGGCAUUGCAGGGGGAGAAGCACAGAAAUCAGUCAGGUGAGGAAUCUAAAGGAAGCCAUCCCUACCGUAAACUGGGACCCUAAAAGACUGCCCUCUCAUGUUAAAGGUUCACAUUACUUGGUGUCAGAAGGGGUAUUUGAAGGAGUUGAUCCCUAAAGAACUAACGAUCCUGGGAAUCAUGCCUGGUACCCAGUUGAUCCCCUUGUGUUCUUCACUCUUUUGGUCUGAAAACCCCCAAAAGCUGCUUUCUGAUGAGGAUGACUGCAUUGACUGAAUAAGCAAAAGCAUUUUCCUGGGAUCCACAAGAAGAGAAAUCAGUACUAUAACAGGAGAUGGGGGAACAUCACAUCCCAGACGACUUCAAGGUCAACAUGAAGUUGGAUGCAGCCCUGGGAGAAGAUCUGAUUAAGGUCCUGGAGAAUAUGAGGCAGGAAUAUGAGUUUGUAACAGAGACGAAGCAUCCAGACUUGACUGCUUGGUUUAAAGAGCAGGUAAAAGAAAGAUGCCCAAACUUCUCAGAAGUCCCAUUUCCAAAGGGUCUCAAUGUCAGUGCCUCUGCUUUUGGUUUGGUCUCACGGUUGGCUGCUAUGGCCCAGGAGGUGGCCUGUCCAACAACUGUACAGGGUAGCCAAAGUGACAUCCAUGAGCCAAAGGGCACUUUCCAGACCCUAAAGACUGGCCUGCAGGCACAGUGCAACAGGACGACUCUGAUCUGGGAAAGUGCUGCAUCAGGUACUGCCUCCUCCAGAAAGCUGUGAAGCGUUCUUCUUGAUAGCUUUUCCUAAGAAGGAAAACAUCUUAAUAUCUUAAGAGCAGUUAUUUCUGGCUGAGGUAGAACAGCUGGGUUCUAACUGUCUCAAAGAAGAUUUAGGGGUUAUAGCUAUUAUCAUAUAAUCAUAGGCUCAGAAAGGGCUUGAGAGAUCUUCCCGUUGAGACCUUCUGUAUCAUUGAGAAAACCUUGACCCACAAAGGUCAGGGACUCUGAAUCUUAAAGCUCUAAAAGAGUGGAGUAGUCAUUUUAUUUCAACUUAUCUAAAAAUUUCU